rnacentral:rRNA from 1 species
AAGUCGUAACAAGGUCUCCGUUGGUGAACCAGCGGAGGGAUCAUUACAGAGUUGCAAAACUCCCACAAACCAUCGCGAAUCUUACCCGUACGGUUGCCUCGGCGCUGGCGGUCCGGAAGGCCCUCGGGCCCCCGGACCCUCGGGUCUCCCGCUCGCGGGAGGCUGCCCGCCGGAGUGCCGAAACCAAACUCUCGAUAUUUCUUGUCUCUCUGAGUAAACUUUUAAAUAAGUCAAAACUUUCAACAACGGAUCUCUUGGUUCUGGCAUCGAUGAAGAACGCAGCGAAAUGCGAUAAGUAAUGUGAAUUGCAGAAUUCAGUGAAUCAUCGAAUCUUUGAACGCACAUUGCGCUCGCCAGUAUUCUGGCGAGCAUGCCUGUUCGAGCGUCAUUUCAACCAUCAAGCACAGCUUGGUGUUGGGACUCGCGUUAAUUCGCGUUCCUCAAAUUGAUUGGCGGUCACGUCGAGCUUCCAUAGCGUAGUAGUAAAACCCUCGUUACUGGUAAUCGUCGCGGCCACGCCGUUAAACCCCAACUUCUGAAUGUUGACCUCGGAUCAGGUAGGAAUACCCGCUGAACUUAA